rnacentral:misc_RNA from 1 species
AGCAGAGCAGAAGUCCCAUCAAGGCCUUUUGCAACGAAGUGAGCAGCGUACUCUUUCACUGUGGUUUCUCUGUACUUUGGAGGAUUCUCUUCUGAUAACAACUCUGUGAUGGGUCCAUAGAGUCUUGAUCUUGACAUAAGGUCUGUGGUAAAAAAGCUUGCCACAGAUACUCUUGGUCCUAUAUGGUUUGCCAGCACCCUAUGCUCAACACUUACGAACUUGUCGUUUGAUAUGAGCUGUAGAAGAUCUCC